rnacentral:tRNA from 1 species
GGAGACGUCGCAUAGUUGGUCUAGUGCACCUCACUGCUAACGAGGCAGGGGAUAAAACCCCUCGAGGGUUCGAAUCCCUCCGUCUCCG